rnacentral:rRNA from 1 species
CGGAAUCGCUAGUAAUCGCGGAUCAGAAUGCCGCGGUGAAUACGUUCCCGGGUCUUGUACACACCGCCCGUCACACCAUGGGAGUCGGGAAUGCCCGAAGUCAGUGACCCAACCCAAGGGAGGGAGCUGCCGAAGGCAGGCCUGGUGACUGGGGUGAAGUCGUAACAAGGUAUC